GAGGGGAAUAGUAGCGGAGAAGAUUUGGCCCACCUCCCUUCCGUGUCUAUUGUUCCCUGUUGCUUCGGCGGGCCCGCCGCCUGUCGGCCGCCGGGGGGGCGCCUCUGCCCCCCGGGCCCGUGCCCGCCGGAGACCCCGCCUCGUUCUCUGUCUGUCGGCGUGCGGUCUGUGUUGGUUGCGUGCCCUCCGUUCCUGCUUUCCGCGGUGGCUCUCUUGGUUCCGGCUUCGGUGAGGAGCGCGGCGUGGUGCGGUCUCUUGUGUGUUUUGCUGAUUUCUGUGUUUCUUCGCGUCUUUGAGCGCUCUUUGCGCCCCCUGGUCUUCCGGGGGGCGUGCCUGUCCGAGCGUCUUUGCUGCCCUGCGGCCCGGCUUGUGUGUUGGGUCGCCGUCCCCCUCUCCGGGGGGACGGGCCCGAAAGGCAGCGGCGGCACCGCGUCCGAUCCUCGAGCGUAUGGGGCUUUGUCACAUGCUCUGUAGGAUUGGCCGGCGCCUGCCGACGUUUUCCAACCAUUCUUUCCAGGUUGACCUCGGAUCAGGUAGGGAUACCCGCUGAACUUAAGCAUAUCAAUAAGCCGGAGGAAAAAAAAAAAAAAAAAGGACA
rnacentral:misc_RNA from 1 species